AGAGUUUCCCAACGGUGCAGUCUCUACUCACCGCAACCUCUGCCUCCCGGGUUCAAGCAAUUCUCCUGCCUCAUUCUCUUGGGUAGCUGGGAUUACAAGCAUGCGCCACCACUCCCAGCUAAUUUUGUAUUUUUAGUAGAGAUGGGGUUUCUCCAUGUUGGUCAGGCUGGUCUCGAACUCCUGACCUCAGGUGAUCCGCCCAGCUCAGCUUCCCAAAGUCCUGGGAUUCCAGGCAUAAGCCACUGCGCCUGGCCUGUUUCUAUUUUCUUUUGCCAGGCAGGUUAUGUUAUACUGGGGUUUCUUGCUGAGGUCUGUCCUGGGACUGUCUGAGGUGUCACAAAGAGCCCACAGGUACAGACGAGAAAUUUGAAAGUGAAUCCAGACGCAGCAGAUGACAGCAAGAUGGGACUCCAAGUUCUCUUUCUAGAAAUUACAAGCUGCUCCGCUACCCACACAUGUAGCUCAUUCUCCCUGUGGCCAAGACACUCCUGUGCCUGAGGGAAAGGCAAUGCCUGCGGCAGAAACGGAGCGGUCCCCCAGCCAGGGGAGAGAGUGGCACCUAGUAUGGUACCCAAUGCUCUAAGGCAUGGAGCUGAUUGACUGCUGACUGUAGACCAGCCACUCACCACAGUGUAGGUUGGAAGCCUUCUAAGGCCGUGCGUUCUGCAGAGUCAGCCCAUGAUGGGGCCAGGAGUGUGGGCUCCAGUGUCACCCCCUUGGGAUUUAAUCCUGGCUGCACCUCUGGGGGCCUUGGUCAAGGGAGAAGCAGUGAUGUUUUAGUAUCCAGAAAGUGGAAAUAACCCAAAUGCCCAUCAACAGCAGAAUGAAAUUGUACUAUAUUCACACCAUGGAAUAUUGUAUAGCAAAGAGAAUGAAUGAACUAUUAACAGAAAAGACAUGGACAAAUCUCAUAAACAUGAUGCUGAAAGAAACCACAGUCAAAAAAGAAGAUGCUUCCCAACCUUUUGCAGA
rnacentral:lncRNA from 10 species